rnacentral:rRNA from 1 species
UACGUAGGGUGCGAGCGUUGUCCGGAAUUAUUGGGCGUAAAGAGCUUGUAGGCGGUCUGUCGCGUCUGCCUGUGGAAAAUCCGGGGCUCAACCCCGGGAUGCCGCCCGAGACUGGGCGGCUUGGAGGUCGGAAGAGGGGAGUGGAAUUCCGGGUGUAGCGGUGGAAUGCGUAGAGAAUCCGGAAGAACACCGGGUGGCGAAGGCGGCCUGCUGGGCCAGUGGCUGACA